rnacentral:rRNA from 1 species
UACCAGCACCCCGAGUGGUCGGGACGUUUUAUUGGGCCUAAAGCAUCCGUAGCCGGUUCUACAAGUCUUCCGUUAAAUCCACCUGCUUAACAGAUGGGCUGCGGAAGAUACUAUAGAGCUAGGAGGCGGGAGAGGCAAGCGGUACUCGAUGGGUAGGGGUAAAAUCCGUUGAUCCAUUGAAGACCACCAGUGGCGAAGGCGGCUUGCCAGAAUGCGCUCGACGGUGAGGGAUGAAAGCUGGGGGAGCAAACCGG